CAGUCGAGCGGUAGGCCUUUCGGGGUACACGAGCGGCGAACGGGUGAGUAACACGUGGGUGAUCUGCCCUGCACUUCGGGAUAAGCCUGGGAAACUGGGUCUAAUACCGGAUAUGACCUCAGGUUGCAUGACUUGGGGUGGAAAGAUUUAUCGGUGCAGGAUGGGCCCGCGGCCUAUCAGCUUGUUGGUGGGGUAAUGGCCUACCAAGGCGACGACGGGUAGCCGACCUGAGAGGGUGACCGGCCACACUGGGACUGAGACACGGCCCAGACUCCUACGGGAGGCAGCAGUGGGGAAUAUUGCACAAUGGGCGAAAGCCUGAUGCAGCGACGCCGCGUGAGGGAUGACGGCCUUCGGGUUGUAAACCUCUUUCAGCAGGGACGAAGCGCAAGUGACGGUACCUGCAGAAGAAGCACCGGCUAACUACGUGCCAGCAGCCGCGGUAAUACGUAGGGUGCAAGCGUUGUCCGGAAUUACUGGGCGUAAAGAGUUCGUAGGC
rnacentral:rRNA from 1 species